AGUGAACGCUGGCGGUAGGCCUAACACAUGCAAGUCGAACGGCAGCACAGUAAGAGCUUGCUCUUACGGGUGGCGAGUGGUGGACGGGUGAGGAAUACAUCGGAAUCUACUUUUUCGUGGGGGAUAACGUAGGGAAACUUACGCUAAUACCGCAUACGACCUACGGGUGAAAGCAGGGGAUCUUCGGACCUUGCGCGAUUGAAUGAGCCGAUGUCGGAUUAGCUAGUUGGCGGGGUAAAGGCCCACCAAGGCGACGAUCCGUAGCUGGUCUGAGAGGAUGAUCAGCCACACUGGAACUGAGACACGGUCCAGGCACCUACGGGAGGCAGCAGUGGGGAAUAUUGGACAAUGGGCGCAAGCCUGAUCCAGCCAUACCGCGUGGGUGAAGAAGGCCUUCGGGUUGUAAAGCCCUUUUGUUGGGAAAGAAAAGCAGCAGGUUAAUACCCCGCUGUUCUGACGGUACCCAAAGAAUAAGCACCGGCUAACUUCGU
rnacentral:rRNA from 1 species